rnacentral:rRNA from 1 species
UACGAAGGGGGGCUAGCGUUGCUCGGAAUCACUGGGCGUAAAGCGCACGUAGGCGGCUUUGUAAGUUAGAGGUGAAAGCCCGGGGCUCAACUCCGGAAUUGCCUUUAAGACUGCAUCGCUUGAACGUCGGAGAGGUGAGUGGAAUUCCGAGUGUAGAGGUGAAAUUCGUAGAUAUCGGGAGGAACACCGGUGGCGAAGGCGGCGACCUGGGGUCGAGACUGACGCUGAGGCGCGAAAGCGUGGGGAGCAAACAGG